rnacentral:lncRNA from 1 species
AAUGGAGAUGUAACAAGGAAAAGAAGGUAGUGCAGACAUAAAACAGGGGGCCAAAUUCAACGUCUUUUCUAUGAAGAAAAUUAAAACUUUUAUGGUGGUUUUAUGGUGUAUGUUCAUUGUUCAUAAUAUUUCAGAGGAAGAAUAAUUAGUUGGAGAAAAAAAAGUUACUGCUAGUUUUACAAACCAAAAAAAUUAAAUAGGAAUAUAUUUUGCAAUGGAAUUUUUCAAUGCCCUGUUAAUUCCAUCACUUCAUGUGGCAACCCAAAUCAUAGGUAUCAAAUUAUUCAGGUAAUUUAAAAUAUACACUUUAUUAGAUUUAUUUUUCUUCUACUUUUUCUCUCUCUCAUCCCUUAAGGAUAUCUCAUUAUGUUACAUCUUAAUGAUUCUUUAAUUUACAUUUGGUCAAAUAAAAUAUGAAACAACAGUAUCACAACAGCUACUUCAGUAAUCAAGAUGAUAAUGUAAUAAUGGAAUG